rnacentral:rRNA from 1 species
AAUGAACGCUGGCGGCAUGCCUAACACAUGCAAGUCGAACGAGAUCUUCGGAUCUAGUGGCGCACGGGUGAGUAACGCGUGGGAACCUACCUUUUAGUACGGGACAACGUUUGGAAACGAACGCUAAUACCGUAUACGCCCUCCGGGGGAAAGGUCAGCCGCUAAAAGAGGGGCCCGCGUCUGAUUAGCUUGUUGGUAAGGUAAUGGCUUACCAAGGCGACGAUCAGUAGCUGGUCUGAGAGGAUGAUCAGCCACACUGGGACUGAGACACGGCCCAGACUCCUACGGGAGGCAGCAGUGGGGAAUAUUGGACAAUGGAGGCAACUCUGAUCCAGCAAUGCCGCGUGUGUGAUGAAGGCCCUAGGGUUGUAAAGCACUUUCAACGGUGAAGAUGAUGACGGUAGCCGUAGAAGAAGCCCCGGCUAACUUCGUGCCAGCAGCCGCGGUAAUACGAAGGGGGCGAGCGUUAUUCGGAAUUAUUGGGCGUAAAGGGCUCGCAGGCUGCUUGAACAGUUAGACGUGAAAUCCCCGGGCUUAACCUGGGAACUGCGUUUAAUACUAGCA